rnacentral:rRNA from 1 species
UACGUAGGUGGCGAGCGUUAUCCGGAUUUACUGGGCGUAAAGCGCUUGUAGGCGGCUCUGUAAGUUGGACGUGAAAGCUCCGGGCUUAACUCGGAGAGGCCGUUCAAUACUGCAGGGCUAGAGGAUGUCAGAGGAAGGUGGAAUUCCUGGUGUAGCGGUGAAAUGCGUAGAUAUCAGGAGGAACACCCGUGGCGAAGGCGGCCUUCUGGGGCAUUCCUGACGCUGAGAAGCGAAAGCUAGGGGAGCAAACAGG